CGCGAAGGGGGAGCGGCCGGCCUCUCUCGGGUUACACCUUGAACAAUGCAGCGCCACAAAGGCGGCUUUCACGGAGGCCUCUUUCAGGAGCAGCAGCAACAGCAGCAGUAGAUGGCCUGGACACGUGAAGGUUGAGAGGGUUGAGAGACAUGGCGCUGGCGGAGUUCUGCAUGCAGAGCGGUGGGGGAUGGCGACGGCGGUGUACGGAGGCGUUAAAUCCGAGACUUCUGCCAGGGCAAGUAGGGCUGCGAGCAAGUAUCGGAUGCUCUUGCGCAACGUGUGGACGGACUGCGUGGAUGAGGUCAAGCCAGCCUCUGGCUGCAGAAGAUUUGUCCAAUCGCAGGCCCAGGCUGUCAUUCAAGCUUCUUGACGGCUCAGAAAAUGACAUUGUCCGUGACCUCUCCCUGGCCUCUCAGCUCCCCUCAUCGUUCUGCUCUGUAAAAGGCCAGGCGUGCAUUGGGAAUCUGUCGUGUGCCGCUCUCUAUACCUGCGGGGAAUGCUACUUUAUUUGAAAAAAAACGGAAGGGCCGGAAAUAUAUGGUGGUCUUGAGGGUAAACAUGCAGUUCUUUCAAGUAGGAGUAUGUCGGAGUAUACGGGUAAAUCCUGUUUGUAAUGUGCUGGUGCUGUCAUAACACUGCUCGUUUCCAAGUACGAAGCGCGGAGUAACACACUGUAAGUGUGUCUUGUUCGCAAACACACCUGUCCUUCCACCACUUUAUUUAUAGCAUCUGGAAACAGACGAUUGUACAUUCACACAGCCCUGGUCACACACGCAUGCACGCACACACUCAAAGACACUCUGCUCAGGUGCGGAUGCUGUGAGCGAGCACAUGUGCAGCAUGGCGCACAGCAAUUUGGGCAGCACCGCGCCUUGUGUUCACACACCGAGUUAGAUGCCCAAGACGGGUUCAGAUACCUUUCACCUGGCCACACUGCCCAUGGACAGGGAUCAUAGCCCGGUCGCCUUCCCUGUGGUGCCAUGCGCUAACCGCUGUGCCUCUGCUCUCCACCGCACUUUAAUAGUGAAAUGGGCCAAUGGGUUCACGUGUUUUUAGAAGGGCACUUUGCUAUGGUAAUUGUCCAUGAGAAAAUAUCUGUUAUUCUCUACUGACAGGGCUAUUCAUUAUUCCGCUGAAAUUUUCUGGAAAUGGCAUCUCUGUAAGCAGGGGUUGAUUCUGUCCUAUGAAUGUUCAGUCCUCCUGAACAAAUCUGCGAGCACCGAUUGAUUAACAAGGGCAUGACAAUGAUAAUUUUGGGAGUUCAAAUCCUACUUGGGGGUCGACUCAGCCCAUCAUCUGCCUGGAGUUGAUCAAAUGAGUACCACUCUGUGAGAAGCCAAGCGUCCUGCAGAGAUAUUGUCUCGCACAAUGGGAAUGUGGAAUUUCCACAUUGGACUGUGGAAUUUCCGUAAGCUGCGGGCUGCCAGCAAGCACGAGCACUGGCCCACACCCGCCGGAGCCUGAAGACGCGGCUCGCGACUUCAGGUGCGACGCAUCACGCACGCACUUGACGCGUCGUCUUUUGCUUAAACGCUUCUGCACAAGCGCACGUCGGCAGCCGCUAAUGUCCAUUAGAAAUAGAACGACUAAAACCGAGGCGCGUGACGUUCAGACACGAUUAGUGCAUGAAGACGGGCUGCCAGUCAGCCUGCGAGCGAGCGAGCGAGCGGGUGAUUGAGAACCGUGCCUCCAGAACCAGAUGACGAAUACGGGAUCAGCGUGGGUCGCCAGACUCGUCAGCGCCGUUUACUCGCGAGAGGCGGCUAUGGACAGGGAGCGACCCCGACGCGAAAAACAAAAUAUUAUUAUUAUCGAGGUCAACUCGCCUCCUCUCUGCUCUGGCAGGCCGUCGCGCGCGCCAGUGUUGACACAAUGUGCGUGCGUGCAAGUCUAAGGAGAGGUUGAAAAACUCGCGCAUGCUGAUGUGUCAUCCAUCACCGAUGCUUGAGCUGUCAGCAGAGACACUCUCUCCCAUCUCCCAUCUCUCUCUCUCCCCAGACGCUUCGUCUGCAGCCCCCCCUGCCCCUCCCCCCCUGCCCCUCCCCCCCUGCCCCUCCCCGCAGUUCUCCCGCGCGGUUUCACGCACUUCACUUACGCAGCGACGUGAGCCUCCUCCUCUUGUCCCGGCAACCGCGGAGGGUGCAACGAUGUGCAGGACAAAGUGCCGUUACACUGACACACUCACACGUUACACUCACACACUCCACGUUACACUCACACACUCUCACACUCACACGUUACACUCACACACUCACACGUUACACUCACACACUCCACGUUACAUUCACACACUCCACGUUACACUCACACACUCACAUACUCACACGUUACACUCACACACUCCACGUUACACUCACUCACUCACACGUUACACUCACACACUCCACGUUACAAUACACGUUACACUCACACACUCACACACUCACACGUUACACUCACACACUCCACGUUACACUCACACACUCCACGUUACACUCACACGUUACAAUACGCGUUACACUCACACAAUAUAUACGGAUGAUAUCGGUCGCGAAAGCCUCCCCGUGUCCAGCCGACGUUUCGCGUCGUGUGCACACCGAGCCUGCGCAUCGCGUCCACGAGUAGAAGCUGUGCACGUGCGGUGUUUGUUUACUCACUUGGAUGCAAUACAAGUAUUUUCUGUG